AAGGGGGGGGGGGGGGGGGGGGCUACAGCCCAGCCCCCCCCCCCCUCCCCCCCCCUAUAUCCGUCU
rnacentral:miRNA from 1 species